UUUUUUGUAGCUUAAGAAUUAAAGCUGAAUAUUGAAGAUAUUUGAGUGGGCCUUUAGCCCCAAAGAAA
rnacentral:tRNA from 1 species